UACAGAGGGUGCGAGCGUUGUUCGGAAUUACUGGGCGUAAAGCGUGCGCAGGCGGUUUUGUAAGUCUGUCGUGAAAUCCCCGGGCUCAACCUGGGAAUUGCGAUGGAGACUGCAAGGCUAGAAUCUGGCAGAGGGGGGUAGAAUUCCACGUGUAGCAGUGAAAUGCGUAGAGAUGUGGAGGAACACCGAUGGCGAAGGCAGCCCCCUGGGUCAAGAUUGACGCUCAUGCACGAAAGCGUGGGGAGC
rnacentral:rRNA from 1 species